GACGAACGCUGGCGGCGUGCUUAACACAUGCAAGUCGAACGAUGAAGCUGGAGCUUGCUCCGCCGGAUCAGUGGCGAACGGGUGAGUAACACGUGGGCAACCUGCCCCAGACUCUGGGAUAACUCCUCGAAAGAGGCGCUAAUACCGGAUACCAACUCCUUGGGCCUCCUGGGAGUUGGAAAGUUUUUCGGUCUGGGAGGGGCCCGCGGCCUAUCAGCGUGUUGGUGAGGUAACGGCUCACCAAGGCGACGACGGGUAGCCGGCCUGAGAGGGCGACCGGCCACACUGGGACUGAGGCACGGGCCAGACUCCUACGGGAGGCAGCAGUGGGGAAUAUUGCGCAAUGGGCGAAAGCCUGACGCAGCAACGCCGCGUGAGGGAUGACGGCCUUCGGGUUGUAAACCUCUUUCAGCAGGGAAGAAGCGAAAGUGACGGUACCUGCAGAAGAAGCACCGGCUAACUACGUGCCAGCAGCCGCAGUAA
rnacentral:rRNA from 1 species